rnacentral:rRNA from 1 species
CCUACGGGGGACAGCAGUGGGGAAUAUUGGUCAAUGGGCGCAAGCCUGACCCAGCAACGCCGCGUGAAGGAAGACGGCUUUCGGGUUGUUAACUUCUUUUGGCAGGGAAGAGUAGAAGACGGUACCUGACGAAUACGCCACGGCUAACUACGUGCCAGCAGCCGCGGUAAUACGUAGGUGGCAAGCGUUGUCCGGAUUUACUGGGUGUAAAGGGCGUGUAGCCGGGUUGACAAGUCAGAUGUGAAAUCCUGCGGCUUAACCGCAGAACUGCAUUUGAAACUGUUGAUCUUGAGUACUGGAGAGGCAGACGGAAUUCCUGGUGUAGCGGUGAAAUGCGUAGAUAUUAGGAGGAACACCAGUGGCGAAGGCAGUCUGCUGGACAGCAACUGACGGUGAGGCGCGAAAGCGUGGGGAGCAAACAGGAUUAGAUACCCCGGUAGUC